UAUACGACCGUACCGCAAACCGACACUGGUGCGCGAGAUGAGUAUUCUAAGGCGCUUGAGAGAACUCAGGAGAAGGAACUCGGCAAAUUGACACCGUAACUUCGGAAGAAGGUGUGCCCUAUUAGUGUGUAGUGAACAACGAAGCAUGAAUGGGUUGCAAAAAAUCGGUGGCUGCGACUGUUUAUUAAAAACACAGCACUCUGCAAACACGAAAGUGGACGUAUAGGGUGUGACGCCUGCCCGGUGCUGGAAGAUUAAAUGAUGGGGUGCAAGCUCUUGAUUGAAGUCCCAGUAAACGGCGGCCGUAACUAUAACGGUCCUAAGGUAGCGAAAUUCCUUGUCGGGUAAGUUCCGACCUGCACGAAUGGCGUAACGAUGGCCACACUGUCUCCUCCUGAGACUCAGCGAAGUUGAAAUGUUUGUGAUGAUGCAAUCUCCCCGCGGAAAGACGGAAAGACCCCAUGAACCUUUACUGUAGCUUUGUAUUGGACUUUGAACAGAUCUGUGUAGGAUAGGUGGGAGGCUUUGAAGCAGGGUCGCUAGAUCUUGUGGAGCCAACGUUGAAAUACCACCCUGGUGUGUUUGAGGUUCUAACCUAGGUCCAUUAUCUGGAUCGGGGACAGUGCAUGGUAGGCAGUUUGACUGGGGCGGUCUCCUCCCAAAGCGUAACGGAGGAGUUCGAAGGUACGCUAGUUACGGUCGGACAUCGUGACGAUAGUGCAAUGGCAUAAGCGUGCUUAACUGCGAGACUGACAAGUCGAGCAGAUGCGAAAGCAGGACAUAGUGACCCGGUGGUUCUGUAUGGAAGGGCCAUCGCUCAACGGAUAAAAGGUACUCUGGGGAUAACAGGCUGAUACCGCCCAAGAGUUCAUAUCGACGGCGGUGUUUGGCACCUCGAUGUCGGCUCAUCUCAUCCUGGGGCUGUAGCCGGUCCCAAGGGUAUGGCUGUUCGCCAUUUAAAGAGGUACGUGAGCUGGGUUUAAAACGUCGUGAGACAGUUUGGUCCCUAUCUUCCGUGGGCGCUGCAGAUUUGAGGAAGCCUGCUCCUAGUACGAGAGGACCGGAGUGGACACACCUCUGGUGUAUCGGUUGUCACGCCAGUGGCAUUGCCGAGUAGCUAAGUGUGGAAGAGAUAACCGCUGAAAGCAUCUAAGCGGGAAACUCGUUUCAAGAUGAGAUCUGCCGGGGCCUUGAGCCCCCUAAAGAGUCGUUCAAGACCAGGACGUUGAUAGGUCAGGUGUGGAAGC
rnacentral:rRNA from 1 species